ACUCUACUGGAUCCAUUUACUCUGAGGCACUGUUUCUUGAAUGCUGACCAGUACUGGAGGGCAUCUUUUCAGUCUUUACUUACGAGCAGGCAGCUUGUGGAAUACAUCAUAUUAGAUGUGGAGCCUCUUUCUUAUGAAGUUAGCGAUGGUAACCGCAAGUAUAACUUAGCAGAUGCUCAAGUUGCCCGCAAAUGUGAUUUUGGAAAGAACAAUAACAUUUUCUACAUAAGAACACAUCUUGGUCACAUUUUGAGUGCUGGGGAUUCGGCUCUUGGUUAUGACAUCUAUGGGGC
rnacentral:misc_RNA from 1 species